GACGAACGCUGGCGGCGUGCUUAACACAUGCAAGUCGAACGGAAAGGCCCUGCUUUUGUGGGGUGCUCGAUUGGCGAACGGGUGAGUAACACGUGAGUAACCUGCCCUUGACUUUGGGAUAACUUCAGGAAACUGGGGCUAAUACCGGAUAGGAGCUCCUGCUGCAUGGUGGGGGUUGGAAAGUUUCGGCGGUUGGGGAUGGACUCGCGGCUUAUCAGCUUGUUGGUGGGGUAGUUGCUUACCAAGGCUUUGACGGGUAGCCGGCCUGAGAGGGUGACCGGCCACAUUGGGACUGAGAUACGGACCAGACGCCUACGGGAGGCAGCAGUGGAGAAUAUUGCGCAAUGGGCGGAAGCCUGAUGCAGCAACGCCGCGUGCGGGAUGACGGCCUUCGGGGUGUAAACCGCUUUCGCAUGUGACGAAGCGUGAGUGACGGUAAUGGGUAAAGAAGCACCGGCUAACUACGUG
rnacentral:rRNA from 1 species